rnacentral:tRNA from 1 species
GGAGGGGUGUCCGAGCGGUUUAAGGUGCGACUCUCGAAAAGUCGUGUGCCCGAAAGGGCACCGUGGGUUCGAAUCCCACCCCCUCCGCCA